UACGGAGGGGGCUAGCGUUGUUCGGAAUUACUGGGCGUAAAGCGCGCGUAGGCGGAUCUGCAAGUCGGGGGUGAAAUCCCGAGGCUCAACCUCGGAACUGCCUUCGAUACUGCGGGUCUCGAGUCCGGGAGGGGCGAGUGGAAUUCCUGGUGUAGCGGUGAAAUGCGCAGAUAUCAGGAGGAACACCAAUGGCGAAGGCAGCUCGCUGGAACGGUACUGACGCUGAGGCGCGAAAGCGUGGGGAGCGAACAGG
rnacentral:rRNA from 1 species